rnacentral:rRNA from 1 species
UUUAACUGAGCGUUCAGUUACUUGACGUAGACCCGAAACCGGGCGACCUACCCAUGAGCAGGAUGAAGCGAAAGUAAAAUUUCGUGGAGGUCCGAACCCACGAGCGUUGAAAAGCUCGGGGAUGACUUGUGGGUAGCGGUGAAAUUCCAAUCGAGCCCGGAGAUAGCUGGUUCUCCCCGAAAUAGCUUUAGGGCUAGCCUCAAGGUGAGAGAUACGGAGGUAGAGCACUGAAUGUCCUAGGGGGUAUUGCACCUACCGAAGACUAUCAAACUCCGAAUGCCGUCAUCUUAUACUUGGGAGUCAGACUGUGGGUGAUAAGAUUCAUAGUCGAAAGGGCAACAGCCCAGAUCGUCAGCUAAGGUCCCUAAAUGUAAGUUAAGUGGUAAAGGAUGUGGGAUUGCACAGACAACCAGGAUGUUGGCUUAGAAGCAGCCACUCAUUCAAAGAGUGCGUAAUAGCUCACUGGUCGAGUGAUCCUGCGCCGAAGAUUUCCGGGGCUAAAACUUACUACCGAAGCUACGGCAUCAGUAAUGAUGGGUAGGGGAGCUUCCCAUACGGGUUGAAGCAUGACCGUAAGGACAUGUGGACAGUAUGGGAGUGAGAAUGUUGGCAUGAGUAGCGAGAUGUGGGUGAGAAUCCCACAGGCCGUAAACCCAAGGUUUCCAGGGGAAGGUUCGUCCGCCCUGGGUUAGUCGGGACCUAAGCUGAGGCCGAAAGGCGUAGGUGAUGGACAACAGGUUGAUAUUCCUGUACUACCGAUAACCGUUUGAGAGAUGGGAUGACACAGUAGGAUAAGCUAAGCACACUGUUGGUUAUGUGUGCCCAAGCAUUGAGGCAGUCAAAGUAGGCAAAU